CCAUGAAACAGAAGGACCUUACGACGC
rnacentral:piRNA from 1 species